AAACAAUCGUGUUGCAUUUUAAGAAGUGAUUUUUAUCAGAAAGCUGCUAUUUAUCAGUUUUAUUAAAGUGCCAUCUCCCAGACUCCGGGGUCAUGAGUUAAUCUCGGCUUUCAUUAACUAAAAACACACAUUUCUCACAGUGGGAGCUGAGAAGUUGGCUGAAGUGAGGAGAGCCUGGCAAUGAUUUCUGCUUCCCAGGAUCCUGUUUGGGGAGAAAGUGGCUCUGGAGGCUUUGCAGCUGAUGGAACAACAUUGGGCAAUCCGCUGGAGCUCCCAAAAAACCUUUUGGGUGCUGUGCCUGGUGGGAGUUCCUGCCUACCCUGCAGCACCCAAAGCGACAUCGCCCUGUCCCCUGGCUGGGGGCAGUGCCAGCCCUCGGUGACCGCAGAUUUAUUGGUGCUGCGAGGGAAACGAAACCAUGUGGAGCCUCUGCGCGGAGCCGGGCAAGGAGCUCGCGGAGCAGACGGAAAUUUCCUGAAAGGCAAAGGAGAAGCUGGAGUGUUCAUUUGUUAGACAUCAUGUAGAAGCCAAAAUCCAC
rnacentral:lncRNA from 1 species